UUGGAGGGCAAGUCUGGUGCCAGCAGCCGCGGUAAUUCCAGCUCCAAUAGCGUAUAUUAAAGUUGUUGCAGUUAAAAAGCUCGUAGUUGAAUUUCGGGAUCAAUUUAUCGGUCGUGCCUCUGGUAUGCACUGGUAUUAUUGAUUUCUACCUUCUGACGAACCAUGAUGUCAUUAAUUUGGUGUCAUGGGGAAUCAGGACUGUUACUUUGAAAAAAUUAGAGUGUUUAAAGCAAGCACACGCUUGAAUACAUUAGCAUGGAAUAAUGAAAUAGGACGUUUGACCCUAUUUUGUUGGUUUCUAGGAUCGACGUAAUGAUUAAUAGGGAUAGUUGGGGGCAUUAGUAUUCAAUUGUCAGAGGUGAAAUUCUUGGAUUUAUUGAAGACUAACUACUGCGAAAGCAUUUGCCAAGGAUGUUUUCAUUAAUCAAGUACGAAAGUUAGGGGAUCGAAGACGAUCAGAUACCGUCGUAGUCUUAACCAUAAACUAUGCCGACUAGGGAUCGGAUGAUGUUAAUUUUUUAAUGACUCAUUCGGCGCCUUACGGGAAAC
rnacentral:rRNA from 1 species